rnacentral:rRNA from 1 species
GAUGAACGCUGACGGCGUGCCUAAUACAUGCAAGUCGAACGCAUCCCGUUAAAUGAAGUGCUUGCACGGAUUUUAACAUUGGAUGAGUGGCGAACUGGUGAGUAACACGUGGGUAACCUGCCCAGAAGCAGGGGAUAACACUUGGAAACAGGUGCUAAUACCGUAUAACAACAAAAACCGCAUGGUUUUUGUUUGAAAGGUGGUUUCGGCUAUCACUUCUGGAUGGACCCGCUGCGUA